rnacentral:lncRNA from 1 species
GGAAUAUGAAGAAUAUAAAUGAUUACAUAUGUGAUUUAGAAACACAAAAACUUUGGCAUGAAGUAGACAAUAAACUAGAGGAGAAAACAGAGAUAGGUUUUGGCAUUGGAUUUUUUUAAAUAAGUAUAUGCUUUUCCCUACAAGAUUUUAUUGGGAGUUGAGGCAUUCAUCCACACUUCUGUGGGUUGAUGACUCUCCUGUUGAUAUGCUUACCCAGAAUUUCACUC